GACGAACGCUGGCGGCGUGCCUAAGACAUGCAAGUCGAACGAGGUCCACCUGGUGGCAACACCAGUGAAGACCUAGUGGCGAACGGGUGAGUAACACGUGAGGAACCUGCCCCGAAGACCGGGAUAACCCUCCGAAAGGAGAGCUAAUACCGGAUGCCCCCUGGAGGUCGCAUGGCCACCAGAGGAAAGGCUUUUGUGCUUCGGGAGGGCCUCGCGGCCUAUCAGCUUGUUGGCGGGGUAACGGCCCACCAAGGCAUCGACGGGUAGCUGGUCUGAGAGGACGAUCAGCCACACUGGGACUGAGACACGGCCCAGACUCCUACGGGAGGCAGCAGUUAGGAAUCUUGCGCAAUGGGCGAAAGCCUGACGCAGCAACGCCGCGUGGGGGAUGAAGGCCUUCGGGUCGUAAACCCCUUUCAGUGGGGACGAAAAUGACGGUACCCACAGAAGAAGCCCCGGCCAACUACGUGCCAGCCGCCGCGGUAAGAC
rnacentral:rRNA from 1 species